UACAGAGGUCUCAAGCGUUGUUCGGAUUCAUUGGGCGUAAAGGGCGCGUAGGCGGGUGUCCAAGUCAGGGGUGAAAUCCUCCAGCUUAACUGGAGAACUGCCUGUGAUACUGGACGUCUGGAGUGAGGUAGGGGCAUGUGGAACUUCCGGUGGAGCGGUGAAAUGCGUAGAUAUCGGAAGGAACACCGGUGGCGAAGGCGGCAUGCUGGACCUCAACUGACGCUGAGGCGCGAAAGCCAGGGGAGCAAACGGG
rnacentral:rRNA from 1 species